UGAUUCAGGAUUCUUGUGGGAGAAGCUUACUGCUAAGUGUCAGAGGAAAAAGUUGCUGUCUUUCAACCCACAAAGGGGUGUGUUUCUGCAGAGGUGAAAGUUAACAGGAAGGAAUGAAGACUUGUGUACCAAGAUGUUUCUGGG